AUCCCAAGAGGCCCCUGAAGCCCCAAGAGCUCCCCUGAUUGUUCCAAAGCAACAUUCCCCCCCAUGAACAACUCAGGGACCCCCUCGAUCCACGGCGUGAGGCCCACCAGCAGAGGAAGAGGAGCUUCCAGUCCUGACUCCCACUAGGCGCAGGGGAGCCGAGCUCCUCUUUGGGUGGAUUAAAACAGACUUGGACAGAGUCUGGAAAAACAAACUCCUUUAAAACAAGACAAAGAUUGAGUCUGGCCAACUGGCUAUUUUCAAUCCUUGCUGAACGGAGUCAAGGCAGUCGGUAGUAACAGCUUGUGGCCAUCCACAAUCGUCCUCCCCGCACGAGAGGGUGGAGUCUCCUCGAAGUGACCAGAGCCGGUGACUUCGGGAAUCAACCCUCCUGAAACAGCGGAUGGCCUAGUGAGUCUUUCCAGAACUGCAGAGGGGCAUUUGAGUGUGGAACAUGAGUGCUGGGCACCUCGAGGAAUGGAGGAUUCCCCAAAGCUAGCUGGAUGCACAUCCCUUGCUCAGCAGUCCACAUCAUCCGUAUCUCUCAUCCCACAGCCGCGGGCUGCCCAGCCAG